CCAAGGAGUCUAACAUGUGCGCGAGUCAUUGGGACCGCAAAACCUAAAGGCGUAAUGAAAGUGAAGGUCGACCUUGUGUCGACUAAGGGAGGAUGGGUUGCGUCACGAUGCAUCCCCGCACUCCCGGGGCGUCUCGUACUCAUUGCGAGUAGAGGCGCACCCAGAGCGUACACGUUGGGACCCGAAAGAUGGUGAACUAUGCCUGGUCAGGACGAAGUCAGGGGAAACCCUGAUGGAGGUCCGUAGCGAUUCUGACGUGCAAAUCGAUCGUCGGAACUGGGUAUAGGGGCGAAAGACUAAUCGAACCAUCUAGUAGCUGGUUCCCUCCGAAGUUUCCCUCAGGAUAGCUGGCACUCGCUUUAGCGAGUCUCAUCUGGUAAAGCGAAUGAUUAGAGGCCUUGGGGCCGAAACGACCUCAACCUAUUCUCAAACUUUAAAUGGGUGAGAUCUCUGGCUUGCUUGAAUUUAUGAAGCCAUGAGAUUUCGGAUCAGAGUGCCAAGUGGGCCAAUUUUU
rnacentral:rRNA from 1 species